rfam:Nanohaloarchaea archaeon SG9, complete genome.
GCGGAGCUGGUGUAGUCUGGCCCAUCAUUUCACCCUGUCACGGUGAAGACCCGGGUUCAAAUCCCGGGCUCCGCG